AAUACAUAGGAAUUUGCCCUUAAGUGGGGGAUAGCCCGGGGAAACCCGGAUUAAUACCGCAUGAACUCGUGAGAGCAAAGUCGGGGACCUUCGGGCCUGGCGCUUUUGGAGAAGCCUAUGUCGGAUUAGCUAGUUGGUGAGGUAAUGGCUCACCAAGGCUGCGAUCCGUAACUGGUCUGAGAGGAUGAUCAGUCACACCGGAACUGAGACACGGUCCGGACUCCUACGGGAGGCAGCAGUGGGGAAUAUUGGACAAUGGGCGAAAGCCUGAUCCAGCAAUGCCGCGUGUGUGAAGAAGGCCUUCGGGUUGUAAAGCACUUUAGGCUGGAAAGAAAAAGCUUUGGCUAAUAUCCAAAGCCUUGACGGUACCAGCAGAAUAAGCACCGGCUAACUCUGUGCCAGCAGCCGCGGUAAUACAGAGGGUGCGAGCGUUAAUCGGAUUUACUGGGCGUAAAGCGUGCGUAGGCGGCUUUUUAAGUCGGAUGUGAAAUCCCUGAGCUUAACUUAGGAAUUGCAUUCGAUACUGGGAAGCUAGAGUAUGGGAGAGGAUGGUAGAAUUCCAGGUGUAGCGGUGAAAUGCGUAGAGAUCUGGAGG
rnacentral:rRNA from 1 species